GCUCAGUAUGGUUGGAAAUCAUGCGCAGAGUGUAAAGGCACAAGCGAGCUUGACUGCGAGACAGACAGGUCGAGCAGGGACGAAAGUCGGGCUUAGUGAUCCGGUGGUUCCGUAUGGAAGGGCCAUCGCUCAACGGAUAAAAGCUACCCUGGGGAUAACAGGCUUAUCUCCCCCAAGAGUCCACAUCGACGGGGAGGUUUGGCACCUCGAUGUCGGCUCAUCGCAUCCUGGGGCUGUAGUCGGUCCCAAGGGUUGGGCUGUUCGCCCAUUAAAGCGGUACGCGAGCUGGGUUCAGAACGUCGUGAGACAGUUCGGUCCCUAUCCGUCGCGGGCGUAGGAAAUUUGAGAG
rnacentral:rRNA from 1 species